ACCUAGCUGACGAGUCCCGAAUAGGACGAAACGCGGAUCCUGGAU
rfam:Schistosoma mattheei strain Denwood, Zambia genome assembly, scaffold: SMTD_scaffold0021146